CCUACAGAACAAAUGGUUCAGUCCUUCCCCGCACGUGUCCCUCGCGUGAAGGUAAUCAGAGUCAGUGAGUGACAGCUGGAGAAGUGACGUUCAAUCAGGAAACGAGACGUAAAGUGAGAGAAGAAGGAAAAGAGAAGGAAACAAACAGGGCGGACGAGUCGUGAUGGAUGUCUCUCCACAGGAAGGAAAACGACGAACAGCUGGAGACAGGGUGGAGAAAACAGGACUGAUAUCACAUCAGUGCUACCCGUCCCCACCUGUCCACUACAGUGCCACUGACGAGCUUCAGCACCCGAACCAGUCGCUCAUCAUGUAAACUUUCACUUGUAAAACUGCAGCUCAGAGAAAUGAGGACACCAGACAUUAGCGGAUGAUGGCUGUGACUCACGAAAAAGGAGACAUGAGAGACAAUACAGUCGUGAUUCAGUGGAAGAAGCCAACGGAGGGUUUAU